CGGAUUGCAGUCUGCAACUCGACUGCAUGAAGCUGGAAUCGCUAGUAAUCGCGAAUCAGAAUGUCGCGGUGAAUACGUUCCCGGGUCUUGUACACACCGCCCGUCACACCAUGGGAGUUGGAAGCGCCCGAAGUCUGUGACCUAACCGUAAGGGAGGAGCAGCCGAAGGUGAAGCCAGUGACUGGGGUGAAGUCGUAACAAGGUACC
rnacentral:rRNA from 1 species